CCCUUCGAUGUUCUGGGCCGCACGCGCGCUACACUGACCAGUGCAACAAGCAUCCGUCCUUGGCCGACAGGCCCGGGCAAUCUUUGAACGCUGGUCGUGAUGGGGAUAGACUUUUGCAAUUUUUGGUCUUCAACGAGGAAUUCCUAGUAAACGCAAGUCAUCAACUUGCAUUGAUUACGUCCCUGCCCUUUGUACACACCGCCCGUCGCACCUACCGAUUGAAUGGUCCGGUGAAGCCUCCGGAUUGGCGCGCACCUCGGUGCCGCCGAGAAGUUGGCUAAACCUUACCAUUUAGAGGAAGGUGAAGUCGUAACA
rnacentral:rRNA from 1 species